AUUGAACGCUGGCGGCAUGCCUUACACAUGCAAGUCGAACGGUAACAGGUCUUCGGAUGCUGACGAGUGGCGAACGGGUGAGUAAUACAUCGGAACGUGCCUAGUAGUGGGGGAUAACUACUCGAAAGAGUGGCUAAUACCGCAUGAGAUCUACGGAUGAAAGCAGGGGAUCGCAAGACCUUGUGCUACUAGAGCGGCCGAUGGCAGAUUAGGUAGUUGGUGGGAUAAAAGCUUACCAAGCCGACGAUCUGUAGCUGGUCUGAGAGGACGAUCAGACACACUGGGGCUGAGACACGGCCCAGACUCCUACGGGAGGCAGCAGUGGGGAAUUUUGGACAAUGGGCGCAAGCCUGAUCCAGCAAUGCCGCGUGCAGGAUGAAGGCCUUCGGGUUGUAAACUGCUUUUGUACGGAACGAAAAGCCCUGGGUUAAUACCCUGGGGUCAUGACGGUACCGUAAGAAUAAGCACCGGCUAACUACGUGCCAGCAGCCGCUGUAAUAC
rnacentral:rRNA from 1 species